GUAAACUAUUAAUCGGAAAAAGACCAGAAGCGCACUUCCAAACACUGCAACAGCACCAGGUCUGACGCCCUUCAUGGCCGUUUUAAGCAUCCGGAUGCCCGUCUCGUCCCGGGUGUUGACGGAGACCAUCUCCUCCCCGCUGGCCGAAAUGUACACCUGCCCGUCCGUCAGGCAGCCCGACACGCUGCACAGCAGGAGCUUGAUGGCCUCCAGCUUCUCCAUGCCGAAGUAGCCGUACCUGCGGGACGAAACGGCAGAGCCAAACAGUCAGGACAACUGAAUAUCUGACCAGGAUGAAAUGAUUUUGCACACUUGAGGGGCCGUGAGCAUUUG